UGGGGAAUUUUGGACAAUGGGGGAAACCCGUGAUCCAGCCAUCCCCGCCGUGUGCGAUGAAGGCCUUCGGGUUGUAAAGCACUUUUGGCAGGAAAGAAACGUCGCGGGUUAAUACCCCGCGAAACUGACGGUACCUGCAGAAUAAGCACCGGCUAACUACGUGCCAGCAGCCGCGGUAAUACGUAGGGUGCAAGCGUUAAUCGGAAUUACUGGGCGUAAAGCGUGCGCAGGCGGUUCGGAAAGAAAGAUGUGAAAUCCCAGAGCUUAACUUUGGAACUGCAUUUUUAACUACCGGGCUAGAGUGUGUCAGAGGGAGGUGGAAUUCCGCGUGUAGCAGUGAAAUGCGUAGAUAUGCGGAGGAACACCGAUGGCGAAGGCAGCCUCCUGGGAUAACACUGACGCUCAUGCACGAAAGCGUGGGGAGCAAACAGGAUUAGAUACCCUGGUAGUCCACGCCCUAAACGAUGUCAACUAGCUGUUGGGGCCUUCGGGCCUUGGUAGCGCAGCUAACGCGUGAAGUUGACCGCCUGGGGAGUACGGUCGCAAGAUU
rnacentral:rRNA from 1 species